rnacentral:rRNA from 1 species
UUAUCUCUGUAGAGUCUGCAUAUCAAUAAGCGGAGGAAAAGAAACUAACAAGGAUUCCCUUAGUAACGGCGAGUGAAGCGGGAAGAGCUCAAAUUUGAAAUCUUCAAGGUUUUACCUUGACGAAUUGUAGUUUAAAGAAGUGUUUUCUGUUGAAGUUUCGGUAAAAGUUCUUUGGAAUAGGACAUCAUAGAGGGUGAGAAUCCCGUAUUUGACCGUUAUUUUCAGCUGUGUGAUACACUUUCAAAGUGUCGGAUUGUUUGGGAAUGCAGUCCAAAAUGGGUGGUAAAUUUCAUCUAAAGCUAAAUAUUGGCGAGAGACCGAUAGGCGAACAAGUACCGUGAGGGAAAGAUGAAAAGAACUUUGAAAGGAGAGUUAAACAGUACGUGAAAUUGUCAAAAGGGAAGCGUUUGACACCAGUGUUGUUUUCUCGAAAAUCAAUUAAAAAUGACUUGAUUUUGUGUCGUAUUGACCUUUAUAAGCUUUCUUCACUCUUUUCAUUGUCUUUUUUAGUGCACUUUUCGUUUAACAAGUCAACAUCAGUUUCUUUUGUUGUAAAAAGGUCAUUGGAAGGUGGCUUUCUUCUCGGAGAAAGUGUUUAUAGCCUUUGACUCCUGCAAUCGGAGAGACUGAGGUCUGCAGCGUAGAUCCUUCUUGGAUUAGAUUCAUUUGUGCUAAGUUAUAACUUUUCAUAGACAACUUGUUGACUAUGUUUAGUCUUGUAGCUUACUCGCUUAUGUAAUUUUACCUACGCUUAGGAUGUUGAUCUCUCACAGUCGAGC